rnacentral:rRNA from 1 species
UCCCUACGGGGGGCAGCAGUGGGGAAUAUUGCACAAUGGGGGGAACCCUGAUGCAGCGACGCCGCGUGGGUGAAGGAGUAUUUCGGUAUGUAAAGCCCUAUCAGCAGGGAAGAACAAUGACGGUACCUGACUAAGAAGCACCGGCUAAAUACGUGCCAGCAGCCGCGGUAAUACGUAUGGUGCAAGCGUUAUCCGGAUUUACUGGGUGUAAAGGGAGCGUAGGCGGCGAUGCAAGUCAGAAGUGAAAGCCCGGGGCUCAACUCCGGGACUGCUUUUGAAACUGUGUUGCUAGAUUGCAGGAGAGG